GAGUGUAUAGCUCAGUGGUAGAGCAUUACGUCGACAUCGUAAGGGUCAUUGGUUCGAUCCCAAUUACACUCA
rnacentral:tRNA from 1 species